UGGGGCGACUACCCUUCGCGAUGUCGUCGGCGAAGAUCCUAUUGAGUGGAGCUACAAGGACCUCAUGCGCCGGGCUUGAAAUGUUGGUACCGAUACACCCAUGUUAAUUGCCCCGUUUGUCAUAUGGAUUGAAUGUCGAACCUGUCUUUGGAUGGAUUGUGUUGAGUUUUUGUUGAACUAUGUCUGGAAUUGAUGCGUAGACCUUUGUGGUUUGAAUUCGUAUGGUGAAAAAUGUGCCUAAUGGGAUUGAUGGAUAACCGUAUUUGCUUAUUGCGUUGUUUACUUGUGUUUGAACUGUUAAGCACGUUUUGCGGAACAGGUUGUUGAUGUGUAGAUACUAGUAGGCUUGUUCUAUGGGUUGCUUUACUUUGUUGGUAGGUAUGGAAUUCAGAUUUUAAUA